UUACCUCCUCUUUUGUUGAAUUCUCUCUAUUUUUCCCUCCUUUCUUUAUCUUCUUUCUUUUUACUCAUUUGUUUCCAUAAUUUCACGUUAACACCCUCUUGAUUUCAUCUUUUGCAAUCCCUACCUACUGUGUUGCCGCCGUCCAGACUUUGAUCCUUCCUAGUGCCGUAGCUAACCCUCUGGUCUCGUUACUGGUUGUGUGUGAUUUGGAGUUUCAGUAUAAUAUCAUAAUUUUGCGAAGUGUAAUCCAUUUGUUUUAAAAAAAGCUUGUUUCCGGUUUUAUUUGAGGGGUUUGUUGGUUGUUGUUGGCUGAAUAGUGAUGGUCUAAUCGUUUUUGGUUCUAUUUAGGUGAGGAUCGUGAGGCGCAUACCCCUCCUGCGAAUUAAGUGCCUUGGAAACCUCUACUCCCUAGGGUAAGUAGUUGAAAGCCUAGUCAAGGGGCUGGCAGGUGUUAAUUUUUGCUUAGGCCGAAUGCUCUAAGGGAGCAAGGGCUGAAUGCCUUAGGCUGAUUUUCUAUUAUGGAUGCCAAUUGGUUAAGGUUUGAUGUCAUGGGCAGAGCGCGGAUUGUUGUUGUAGUGCCGACACCUCAAAAACAAUUAGGUGUAUGUUUUAACCCUACUUGAUUUGUGAGAGUAGAGGUUAAUCAAAUGUUGCGGUGUUUUAAUUAAACUCGUUCGGUUGUGACUGAGUUUUUUUUUUCUGGUGGUGGCUGAAAGUAAGUAUUCCCUUGUUAAAUUUGGUGUUAGUCGAUUGGCUAUGGGUGUGUUUCGGUUAUGGCUGAAUCCGAGUAAGUAAGUUGGGUGUCGUGAUUGAUGGUGAGUAUGCUUGAUUUGAGUUAGCUGAUUGCAUGUAUGUUUCAACGUGUUGUUGAAAGUGAUACUUGCUUGUUUUAUUUGCGAGGGCCGAACUUGCCAAUAACUUGUUUCUGAUUUGUUAAACUAUAUGUACUAUUAGCAUGUUACCGAUCUGUUUAAUAUGCAUAUGGACAUGUAUGAUUUGAGUAUGCUUAGUAUGUCAG
rnacentral:lncRNA from 1 species